GACGAACGCUGGCGGCGUGCUUAACACAUGCAAGUCGAACGGAAAGGCCCUGCUUUUGUGGGGUGCUCGAGUGGCGAACGGGUGAGUAACACGUGAGUAACCUGCCCUUCACUUUGGGAUAACUUCAGGAAACUGGGGCUAAUACCGGAUAGGAGCUUCUGUUGGAGUGUGGGGGGGGGAAAGUUUCUGCGGUUGGGGUUGGACUCGCGGCUUAUCAGCUUGUUGGUGGGGUAGUGGCAUACCAAGGCUUUGGCGGGUCGCCGGCCUGAGAGGGUGACCGGCCACAUUGGGACUGCGAUACGGCCCAGACUCCUACGGGAGGCAGCAGUGGGGAAUAUUGCACAAUGGGCGGAAGCCUGAUGCAGCGACGCCGCGUGCGGGAUGACGGCCUUCGGGUUGUAAACCGCUUUCGCCUGAGACGAAGCGUGAGUGACGGUAACGGGUAAAGAAGCACCGGCUAACUACGUG
rnacentral:rRNA from 1 species